rnacentral:rRNA from 1 species
AUGUUGGUGCUGUUUGAGACGCCCACUAGGUUCGCCGUUUUCAAGGUUCUGAACAAGGGCAAGCUUGACAAGAUCAAGAGCUUUGUGUUCAUCUUUGUCCGUAGGAUCUAUGGAAGGAGUUCACCACAUCAGACUCGGCGAGAAAGCAUGGUGGCCAAGAUGCGGCAGCCCCAUGCUCUGUUCCGAUGGGCCUCCUCUGCUCGAUGGUUGCCGCUGGUUGAGUUUGGUACGGUUUCCUAUUGUUGCUUGUGUCGAGCCAUGGGCCCGUCUCUCCUUCGCAUUGAGCCUACUUCUCCUAUCGCUGGCACUUAUUCUUCUCGUCCGUCCUGCUGCUUACCCAAAGUGCUUCUGCUGGCUGCCUUGGUUGUAUGA